rnacentral:rRNA from 1 species
AUUGAACGCUGGCGGCAGGCCUAACACAUGCAAGUCGAGCGAGCGGCGGACGUGUGAGUAAUGUAUGGGGCCUGCCCGAUAGAGGGGGUUAACUACUGGAAACGGUGGCUAAUACCGCAUACUAUAGGCUAACCCAGAUGGGAUUAGCUAGUAGGUUGGGUAAAGGCUCACCUCGGCGACGAUCUGUAGCUGGUCUGAGAGGAUGAUCAGGCAUACGGGAACGGAUACACGGGCCCGACUCCUACGGAGGCAGCAGCGGGGAAUAUUGCACAAUGGGAGCAAGCCUGAUGCAGCCAUGCCGCGUGUAUGAAGAAGGCCUUAGGCUUGUAAAGUACUUUCAGCGGGGAGGCGUUACCCACAGAAGAAGCACCGGCUAACUCCGUGCCAGCAGCCGCGGUAAUAC